UUCAUCUUUUUUGCUUGUGUGUUUGCUCUGGUGUGUGGAGGUGGUUUCGGGGGUGCAAAACGAUUUAUAUAGGUAUCUAUAAACCUAGUUGGGGAGGGAAUAUUCUCCUGCUCCUGAAUUUUUGCUGCGGCGCGAAUAUCGAUCGAUGUUCCUGUGUGAGUGUCGAUCGAUGUGAGCGGUUGUUUUGCUGGACGAGGGUGGGUAUCGACCGAUGUGGAGUGUACAUCGUCGAACGAUGUUGGAAUCGUGUUGGUGAACUCAUGUGUUUCGAAUCUUUCAUCCUGCAAAGACAUUUCUAUUGCACGUUCUUUCCAAUAAUCCUCAUCGUAUUUCUUUGUAUGUUCCUCAUUAGGUGAAGUAAUUAUAGUGUCAACUGCAAAACUUUCAUGGAAACCAC
rnacentral:lncRNA from 1 species